AAAGCAGGCAGAUUCAAUUUUCUAGCCACCGAAUACAUUAGCAUGGGAUAAUGGAAUAGGACCCUGUCCUCCUAUCUUCAGUUGGUUAACUUGUAGAGGAUCAGGGUAAUGAUUAAUAGGGAUAGUUGGGGGCAUUAAUAUUUAAUUGUCAGAGGUGAAAUUCUUGGAUUUAUGAAAGAUUAACUUCUGCGAAAGCAUCUGCCAAGGAUGUUUUCAUUAAUCAAGAACGAAAGUUAGGGGAUCGAAGACGAUCAGAUACCGUCGUAGUCUUAACCAUAAACGAUGCCGACCAGCGAUUAGGAGACGUUGAAUACAAAACACCACCAUGUAUAAUUCAGUAUAUGGCCAGUCAAAUGGUUGUAUAUU
rnacentral:rRNA from 1 species